rnacentral:rRNA from 1 species
GAUGAACGCUGGCGGCGUGCCUAAUACAUGCAAGUCGAGCGAACAGACGAGGAGCUUGCUCCUCUGACGUUAGCGGCGGACGGGUGAGUCACACGUGGAUAACCUACCUAUAAGACUGGGAUAACUUCGGGAAACCGGAUCUACUACCGGAUAAUAUAUUGCACCGCAUUGUUCAAUAGUGAAAGACGGUUUUGCUGUCACUUAUAGAUUGAUCCGCGCCGCAUUAGCUAGUUGGGAAGGUAACGGCUUACCAAGGCGACGAUGCGUAGCCGACCUGAGAGGGUGAUCGGCCAGACGGGAACUGAGACACGGUCCAGACUCCGACGGGAGGCAGCAGUAGGGAAUCUUCCGCAAUGGGCGAAAGCCUGACGGAGCAACGCCGCGUGAGGGAUGAAGGUCUUCGGAUCGUAAAACUCUGUUAUUAGGGAAGAACAAAUGUGUAAGUAACCAUGCACGUAUUGACGGUACCGAAUCAGAAAGCCACGGCUAACUACGUG